rnacentral:rRNA from 1 species
AUUGAACGCUGGCGGCAUGCCUUACACAUGCAAGUCGAACGGUAACAGGUCUUCGGAUGCUGACGAGUGGCGAACGGGUGAGUAAUACAUCGGAACGUGCCCAGUAGUGGGGGAUAACUACUCGAAAGAGUGGCUAAUACCGCAUGAGAUCUACGGAUGAAAGCAGGGGUCCGCAAGACCUUGUGCUACUAGAGCGGCCGAUGGCAGAUUAGGUAGUUGGUGGGAUAAAAGCUUACCAAGCCGACGAUCUGUAGCUGGUCUGAGAGGACGAUCAGCCACACUGGGACUGAGACACGGCCCAGACUCCUACGGGAGGCAGCAGUGGGGAAUUUUGGACAAUGGGCGAAAGCCUGAUCCAGCAAUGCCGCGUGCAGGAUGAAGGCCUUCGGGUUGUAAACUGCUUUUGUACGGAACGAAAAGCCCCGGGUUAAUACCCUGGGGUCAUGACGGUACCGUAAGAAUAAGCACCGGCUAACUACGUGCCAGCCGCCGCCGUAA